GGUUAAGCGACUAAGCGUACACGGUGGAUGCCCUGGCAGUCAGAGGCGAUGAAGGACGUGCUAAUCUGCGAUAAGCGUCGGUAAGGUGAUAUGAACCGUUAUAACCGGCGAUUUCCGAAUGGGGAAACCCAGUGUGUUUCGACACACUAUCAUUAACUGAAUCCAUAGGUUAAUGAGGCGAACCGGGGGAACUGAAACAUCUAAGUACCCCGAGGAAAAGAAAUCAACCGAGAUUCCCCCAGUAGCGGCGAGCGAACGGGGAGCAGCCCAGAGCCUGAAUCAGUGUGUGUGUUAGUGGAAGCGUCUGGAAAGGCGCGCGAUACAGGGUGACAGCCCCGUACACAAAAAUGCACAUGCUGUGAGCUCGAUGAGUAGGGCGGGACACGUGGUAUCCUGUCUGAAUAUGGGGGGACCAUCCUCCAAGGCUAAAUACUCCUGACUGACCGAUAGUGAACCAGUACCGUGAGGGAAAGGCGAAAAGAACCCCGGCGAGGGGAGUGAAAAAGAACCUGAAACCGUGUACGUACAAGCAGUGGGAGCACGCUUAGGCGUGUGACUGCGUACCUUUUGUAUAAUGGGUCAGCGACUUAUAUUCUGUAGCAAGGUUAACCGAAUAGGGGAGCCGAAGGGAAACCGAGUCUUAACUGGGCGUUAAGUUGCAGGGUAUAGACCCGAAACCCGGUGAUCUAGCCAUGGGCAGGUUGAAGGUUGGGUAACACUAACUGGAGGACCGAACCGACUAAUGUUGAAAAAUUAGCGGAUGACUUGUGGCUGGGGGUGAAAGGCCAAUCAAACCGGGAGAUAGCUGGUUCUCCCCGAAAGCUAUUUAGGUAGCGCCUCGUGAAUUCAUCUCCGGGGGUAGAGCACUGUUUCGGCAAGGGGGUCAUCCCGACUUACCAACCCGAUGCAAACUGCGAAUACCGGAGAAUGUUAUCACGGGAGACACACGGCGGGUGCUAACGUCCGUCGUGAAGAGGAAACAACCCAGACCGCCAGCUAAGGUCCCAAAGUCAUGGUUAAGUGGGAAACGAUGUGGGAAGGCCCAGACAGCCAGGAUGUUGGCUUAGAAGCAGCCAUCAUUUAAAGAAAGCGUAAUAGCUCACUGGUCGAGUCGGCCUGCGCGGAAGAUGUAACGGGGCUAAACCAUGCACCGAAGCUGCGGCAGCGACGCUGAUGCGUUGUUGGGUAGGGGAGCGUUCUGUAAGCCUGCGAAGGUGUGCUGUGAGGCAUGCUGGAGGUAUCAGAAGUGCGAAUGCUGACAUAAGUAACGAUAAAGCGGGUGAAAAGCCCGCUCGCCGGAAGACCAAGGGUUCCUGUCCAACGUUAAUCGGGGCAGGGUGAGUCGACCCCUAAGGCGAGGCCGAAAGGCGUAGUCGAUGGGAAACAGGUUAAUAUUCCUGUACUUGGUGUUACUGCGAAGGGGGGACGGAGAAGGCUAUGUUGGCCGGGCGACGGUUGUCCCGGUUUAAGCGUGUAGGCUGGUUUUCCAGGCAAAUCCGGAAAAUCAAGGCUGAGGCGUGAUGACGAGGCACUACGGUGCUGAAGCAACAAAUGCCCUGCUUCCAGGAAAAGCCUCUAAGCAUCAGGUAACAUCAAAUCGUACCCCAAACCGACACAGGUGGUCAGGUAGAGAAUACCAAGGCGCUUGAGAGAACUCGGGUGAAGGAACUAGGCAAAAUGGUGCCGUAACUUCGGGAGAAGGCACGCUGAUAUGUAGGUGAGGUCCCUCGCGGAUGGAGCUGAAAUCAGUCGAAGAUACCAGCUGGCUGCAACUGUUUAUUAAAAACACAGCACUGUGCAAACACGAAAGUGGACGUAUACGGUGUGACGCCUGCCCGGUGCCGGAAGGUUAAUUGAUGGGGUUAGCGCAAGCGAAGCUCUUGAUCGAAGCCCCGGUAAACGGCGGCCGUAACUAUAACGGUCCUAAGGUAGCGAAAUUCCUUGUCGGGUAAGUUCCGACCUGCACGAAUGGCGUAAUGAUGGCCAGGCUGUCUCCACCCGAGACUCAGUGAAAUUGAACUCGCUGUGAAGAUGCAGUGUACCCGCGGCAAGACGGAAAGACCCCGUGAACCUUUACUAUAGCUUGACACUGAACAUUGAGCCUUGAUGUGUAGGAUAGGUGGGAGGCUUAGAAGUGUGGACGCCAGUCUGCAUGGAGCCGACCUUGAAAUACCACCCUUUAAUGUUUGAUGUUCUAACGUUGACCCGUAAUCCGGGUUGCGGACAGUGUCUGGUGGGUAGUUUGACUGGGGCGGUCUCCUCCUAAAGAGUAACGGAGGAGCACGAAGGUUGGCUAAUCCUGGUCGGACAUCAGGAGGUUAGUGCAAUGGCAUAAGCCAGCUUGACUGCGAGCGUGACGGCGCGAGCAGGUGCGAAAGCAGGUCAUAGUGAUCCGGUGGUUCUGAAUGGAAGGGCCAUCGCUCAACGGAUAAAAGGUACUCCGGGGAUAACAGGCUGAUACCGCCCAAGAGUUCAUAUCGACGGCGGUGUUUGGCACCUCGAUGUCGGCUCAUCACAUCCUGGGGCUGAAGUAGGUCCCAAGGGUAUGGCUGUUCGCCAUUUAAAGUGGUACGCGAGCUGGGUUUAGAACGUCGUGAGACAGUUCGGUCCCUAUCUGCCGUGGGCGCUGGAGAACUGAGGGGGGCUGCUCCUAGUACGAGAGGACCGGAGUGGACGCAUCACUGGUGUUCGGGUUGUCAUGCCAAUGGCACUGCCCGGUAGCUAAAUGCGGAAGAGAUAAGUGCUGAAAGCAUCUAAGCACGAAACUUGCCCCGAGAUGAGUUCUCCCUGACCCUUUAAGGGUCCUGAAGGAACGUUGAAGACGACGACGUUGAUAGGCCGGGUGUGUAAGCGCAGCGAUGCGUUGAGCUAACCGGUACUAAUGAACCGUGAGGCUUAACCUU
rnacentral:rRNA from 1 species